AGUAACUGCGAGUGAAGUGGGAAAAGCUCAAAUUUAAAAUCUGGUAGUCUUUGAUUGCCCGAGUUGUAAUCUAGAGAAGUGUUAUCCGUGCUGGACCGUGUAAAAGUCUCCUGGAAUGGAGCAUCAUAGAGGGUGAGAAUCCCGUCUUUGACACGGACUCCCAGGGCUUUGUGAUGCGCUCUCAAAGAGUCGAGUUGUUUGGGAAUGCAGCUCUAAAUGGGUGGUAAAUUCCAUCUAAAGCUAAAUAUUGGCGAGAGACCGAUAGCGAACAAGUACCGUGAGGGAAAGAUGAAAAGAACUUUGGAAAGAGAGUUAAACAGUACGUGAAAUUGUUGAAAGGGAAACGCUUGAAGUCAGUCAUGUUAGCUAGAAAUCAGCCUUGCCUUUUUGCUUGGUUUAUUUUCUGGUUGACAGGUCAGCAUCAAUUUUGACUGACAGAUAAAGGUCAGGGGAAUGUGACAUCUUUUUGAUGUGUUAUAGCCCUUGGUUGGAUAUGUCAGUUGGGAUUGAGGAACUCAGCAUGCCAUAAGGCCGGGUUUUUAACCACGUUUACAUGCUUAGGAUGCUGGCAAAAUGGCUUUAAUCGACCCGUCUUGAAACACGGACCAAGGAGUCUAACAUGCCUGCGAGUGUUUGGGUGAAAAACCCAUGCGCGUAAUGAAAGUAAAGAUCAAGAUCCUUGUCAUGAGGAGCAUUGAUGCCCGGACUAGAUCUUUUAGUGACAGUUCCGCGGUUGAGCAUGUAUGUUGGGACCCGAAAGAUGGUGAACUAUGCCUGAAUAGGGUGAAGCCAGAGGAAACUCUGGUGGAGGCUCGUAGCGAUUCUGACGUGCAAAUCGAUCGUCAAAUUUGGGUAUAGGGGCGAAAGAC
rnacentral:rRNA from 1 species